rnacentral:rRNA from 1 species
UACGUAGGGGGCAAGCGUUGUCCGGAUUUAUUGGGCGUAAAGAGCGUGUAGGCGGUCUGGUAGGUCCGUUGUGAAAACUCGAGGCUCAACCUCGAGACGCCGAUGGAAACCAUCAGACUAGAGUCCGGAAGAGGAGAGUGGAAUCCUGGUGUAGCGGUGAAAUGCGCAGAUAUCAGGAAGAACACCCGUGGCUAAGGCGGCUCUCUAG